AGAGGGUGCGAGCGUUAAUCGGAUUUACUGGGCGUAAAGCGUGCGUAGGCGGCUUUUUAAGUCGGAUGUGAAAUCCCUGAGCUUAACUUAGGAAUUGCAUUCGAUACUGGGAAGCUAGAGUAUGGGAGAGGAUGGUAGAAUUCCAGGUGUAGCGGUGAAAUGCGUAGAGAUCUGGAGGAAUACCGAUGGCGAAGGCAGCCAUCUGGCCUAAUACUGACGCUGAGGUACGAAAGCAUGGGGAGCAAACAGGAUUAGAUACCCUGGUAGUCCAUGCCGUAAACGAUGUCUACUAGCCGUUGGGGCCUUUGAGGCUUUAGUGGCGCAGCUAACGCGAUAAGUAGACCGCCUGGGGAGUACGGUCGCAAGACUAAAACUCAAAUGAAUUGACGGGGGCCCGCACAAGCGGUGGAGCAUGUGGUUUAAUUCGAUGCAACGCGAAGAACCUUACCUGGUCUUGACAUAGUAAGAACUUCGCGAAGAACCUUACCUGGUCUUGACAUAGUAAGAACUU
rnacentral:rRNA from 1 species